CGUUCAGGGGUAAACCUGUGAAACUCGAAUGAACGAACGGGGAGAUUCAUCGUCACUCAUCGGACGGUGCUGGCGGCGCGCGAUGUGCAACCCUGCGGCGGCUUCGGUCGUCGUUGCGAGCUGCUCACGCGCCCGCUCCGCACAGUCAGUCCGGUGACGUCGUGCACUUCUCCCUUAGUAAUGCAUCGCGACCCGCUCGACACCUGUCUAAGCCCUGUCCGGAUGCACGUGGUGCCUCGUGUGCCGCGUACCGCGACGGGUGCCGGCCGGUUGUCGGGCGGUAUUAGACGUGAAACGCGCACGCGCUUGUCGCGUCCGGCCCGACGCAAGGUCGCUGCGAUGCCGCCGCUGCGCCUGAGUGCGCACGGUUGGUGUCCGGCGCCUGCUCGUGGCAGCCGUGUCGUCUCGGACGUGCGCGUAUCCAGUCAUGCGAUGUUUUUGUUUCGGGCACUCACAGGACCCGUCUUGAAACACGGACCAAGGAGUCUAGCAUGUGUGCGAGUCACUAGGUUUUAAAACCGAAAGGCGCAACGAAAGUGAAGGUGCGCGCUCGCCGCGCACUUGGGGAGGAUGGCGAACGGCUCUCAAGGCUCUCGCCCGCACUCCCGAGGCGUCCCGUUCGCAAUCUGUCGAUGUGGGCGCGCUCAGAGCACAGAUGCUGGGACCCGAAAGAUGGUGAACUAUGCCUGGUCAGGUCGAAGUCAGGGGAAACCCUGAUGGAGGACCGUAGCGAUUCUGACGUGCAAAUCGAUCGUCGGAACUGGGUAUAGGGGCGAAAGACUAAUCGAACCAUC
rnacentral:rRNA from 1 species